CUCCACCACCGCUGCAGUCAUUCUCAACUAUAUAAUCAUUCCUACCACCAUUACUCUUUUUCAAUGACACAGAAGAAAACUCAGCGAAAGAUCUCCUCGUGGCGGAGGUCGCGAGAGGCAUAAGUGGGAGAAGGACAGCAAAGAAGAAAAGGAGAAACCCUGUCUAGAGAGAGAGGGGGGCAAUGGAUGUUUAUAUCUCGGAGGAGUACAAGGAGGCUCGGUAUAGAGAAAGAAGGGCGAGGUCGAAGGACGCCGGAGGUCCGGCGACGGGAGGUGGUCACGAGGCGGGGCAGGCGAAGGCCUCGACGGCGAAAGCGAAGGCCGCGAUCGCCUCCCUAGUGUCGCAGAUGGAAGGUACGGUGGUCGCCGGUAGCAGCGACGACAUUUUCGUUAGUUGCUUCUCCGCUUGAUACGCAUACAAUUUUUUCAUGCAAAAACGGAGGAAAGCCGCCUCCGGUGAACCUACCACCGAUACAUCGCCAUUGCAGAGAUUUUGCUUGGCACCUUCAGACUAGCAAUUCCAGAUCAAAUUUCUCUAAGGAGUUUAGAACGGCCUAUAUAUAUGUAUAUAUUUAGAGAGAGGGGGAGAGAAAGAGAGGGGGGGUUCGAUCAGGACGCCUGUGUCUGGGACAUGGUUAAUACCGACGGUUCGAACGCGAAGUACAUGCUCAAACUGGAGGUUCCGUAUCAAAGGCAAAAGAGAGGAAGUACAUACGCUUCAGAUGAUGAUGAAGGUCCAAAGUGGGGGCAGCCAAACAGGAUCUGGGUUUUGAUCGGAUCCUUGAAAACUUAUUGGGGCUUACGCUGUAGGGCUCCUUAUUCGAUGUGCUUGUGAUAAUUAAUCGAGAACGACGAACGAGUCUGCGGGUACUGCAACUCAAGAUCCCGUUUGGAUUUUGGACGGAAUCUCAGGAGAUGCCAAUGCCAAAGGAAAUGGCUAAACGAAUUCAAAUAUUGAAUUCUGCUGGAUCUGGUUCCCCCCCCCUUUUUCUCUUUCUCCAUUUCUUCGAAAAGUUAGCAGGAUGAUCAAAAUGCCAAAUCCAUUCUAGAAUUAAGAACUUUUUUUUUUUCUUUCCCUAGUUUCUUUUAUACAUAAGAUGAGACAUCACAAAGAAAACUGGACGGGACUAAGAAAUUUCAGAACUAAACUAAAACUACUAGUGUUUGUGCAUUUACAUUUUACGUGAAACCAACGAAUCCCCAACGGCCACUUUAAAAUGUUAUUUGAAAGAGUGAACAGCAGCUGACAGCAUAGCUUUAAUGCACAAUUGAAUUUUGUGACAUAAUCAAUCUUUCACUAUACAGUCGAAGACCUUCAUCACCAUAACUUCAAAGUAGUCCAACAAACCAAUAUGUUCCACACAUAUAUAUUAUAUGUAUGAUAUAUGUAUAUAUAUAUUAUAUAACUGAAAUUUUCAAAAGAUACUGAAUUCACUGAAAAUUUCAGAAGAUACCGAAUUCUCUGUCGCUAAUUUUUUUUUUCAAUAGUCAGCAUCGAGUUUAAACCUAUACCACGUGAUGUGUUUCGUUUUUCAAACUUAAAGGGCACCGAAAUAUAAAAUUUUUCACCGUUACAUGGUGACAAAUAUAUAUUUUCAUAUUUUCCUUGCGUAUGUUCAUCUAUCUCUCUCAUUUUUGUGAUCUCCUCUAACUUUU